rnacentral:rRNA from 1 species
AUUAUAUGAGAGUUUGAUCCUGGCUCAGGACGAACGCUGGCGGCGUGCCUAAUACAUGCAAGUCGAGCGAAUUUGAUG